GACGAACGCUGGCGGCGUGCCUAAUACAUGCAAGUCGAACGCAGUGGGGACGGGUGAGUAACACGUGGGUAACCUCCCAUCAGAGGGGAUACCACUUGGACACAGGUGCUAAACCGAUACUGAUGGAUGGACCCGCGGUGCAUUAGCUAGUUGGUGAGGUAACGGUUCACCAAGGCCACGAUGCAUAGCCGACCUGAGAGGGUGAGCGGGAACAGUGGGACUGAGACAAGGCCCAGACUCCUGCGAGUGGAAGGAGUAGGGAAUCGUCGGCAAUGGACGAAAGUCCGACCGAGCAACGCCGGGUGAGUGAAGAAGGUUGUCGGAUCGUAAAACUCUGUUGUUAGAGAAGCGGUAUCUAACCAGAAAGCCACGGCUAACUACGUGCCAGCAGCCGCGGUAAUUC
rnacentral:rRNA from 1 species